rnacentral:rRNA from 1 species
CCUGCAGUCGAACGAGACGGAUAUUAGCUUGCUAAUAUUGUCAGCUAAGUGGCGCACGGGUGAGUAAUAUAUAGUUAAUCUGCCUUAGAGAUGGGAAUAAUUGUUGGAAACGACUUGUAAGACCCGAUAUGCCUUUAGUACAUAAGUACGCAAGGGAAACAUUUAUGGCUCUAAGAUGAGACUGUACAGUAUCAGAUAGUUGGUAGGGUAAUGGCCUACCAAGUCUAUGACGCUUAACUGGUUUGAGAGGAUGAUCAGUCACACUGGAACUGAGACACGGUCCAGACUCCUACGGGAGGCAGCAGUGGGGAAUAUUGCACAAUGGACGAAAGUCUGAUGCAGCAACGCCGCGUGGAGGAUGACACAUUUCGGUGCGUAAACUCCUUUUAUAUGAGAAGAUAAUGACGGUAUCAUAUGAAUAAGCACCGGCUAACUUCGUGCCAGCAGCCGCGGUAAUACGAGGGGUGCAAGCGUUACUCGGAAUCACUGGGCGUAAAGAGAAUGUAGGCGGGUAAUUAAGUUGGAAGUGAAAUCCUAUGGCUCAACCAUAGAACUGCUUCCAAAACUGAUUACCUAGARUAUGGGAGAGGUAGAUGGAAUUUCUGG